CUGGUGCUCACGAGGAAGCGGCAGGUGACGUGGGGCUGGGGCGCGUCGCUGACCGCAGGGGAGGACGUGGGGUGGCGCUUGCACACAGGGCAGGGGGGUGAGAGUGACGGCAAGGAGGACUUGAGAGUGUGUUAGGCCGACGCCUGAUCAUCGUUCCCCGGUGUCUGCUUCCCGUUGGGCUGACACUCUUCUUGGCACGCGCAGCCCUGGAUGCCUCUUGGUUCCGAGAUUGAGGCGAUUUCCAGGCAGCAGAAGAGCCCUUCUCGCCAAGGCUCCAUCGGGGGCAGGAAUCCGCCCCGGAGCCUCGGCCGUUGUGACAGCCAUGCCGCUCACAUGGGGUACCAGGAUUUCUGGUUUAAAAAGGGACGCGUCCAGGGCCGCCUGCGGGGCUCAGUCAGCUGAGCAUCUGACUCUUGAUUUCGGCUCAGGUCACGAUCUCGCAGUUCAUGGGUUCGAGCCCCAUGUCGGGCUCUGCGCUGAUGGCACAGAGCCUACUUGGGUUCUCUCUCUCUCUCUCUCUCUCUCUCUCUCUCUCUCUCUGCCUCUCCCCUGCUCAUGCUCUUUCUCUCAAAAUAAAAAAUAAAUUAAAAAAAAAAGCAAAGUGGGGGGAUGCAUCGCACCUCUCUCCCUGCUGGCAAAUAAAAGAAAGCAACUGGCCUCGACUCUGACCUUUUGACAGUCCAUCGGGAAAAAUGAGGUUGCAGAAAUAAGCGUGCACCCACCGUGAUGGCCAUAAUGAUGACAAUGAAGAAGGAGCACUGUUGGUGGGAACAUAGAGGGACUCGAAUGCUGCUGGUGGGCGUGGAAAGCAAUACAGUCGCUGUGGAAACUAGUCCCGUGGCUCCUCAGAAAGGGAUCCACAGAGCUACCACAUGACCCACCCAUUCCACUCAAGGCAUCCUCAGAGCAGAGCUGAGGACACGUGUCCACGGACGCUGGUGCACAACGCUCAGUGUUACCUAACAGCCAAAAGGUGGGCUCAGCCCGAAUGCAGAUCAACCACCAAAUGGGACAGGCAACGUGGCUUCUCCGUGCACUCCAGUGUCGCCCACAGGGAGGAGUGAGGUGCUCCUACCUGGAGGAGCCUUGGAAACAUUACGAUAAGUGAAUGAAGGCAGGUACUUUGCAGGUCUGUCGUGUGAUUCCGUGAAUGUGAAAAAUCGGGAACAGGCAACUCGCCGGAGACAGAAAGUAGAUGCGUGGUUAACAGGGUCUGGGGGAAGAAGAAAUGUGCGACCGCUGUGAACAUGCACGGUUUCCCCUGGCAGGGAGGAUGGAAGUGCUCCAGGAUUAGGUGGUGGUGAUGGUCACACGACCACACGAAGACACUAAGAACCACUCAACAGUACACAUUAAAAUGGUCAAGAUUACGGUGUUUGAAUUACCCUUCUGUACAAUAAAGAAAUCAAGUCGGGGGAAACGAGCGUGCAGAAGUCAUACAGUUUAACGACGUGGGAUAAUCCUGUUCUCGUCUGUAGAGUGGGAAACGGAGCUUCUCCGUGGACGGAGGAGACGUGCUCAGCAGGGCAGUGGGGACUGUGACUGUGCCAGACGUAGGCGUGCCAGACGUGAGAUGGAGGAUGUGCACGCCCACUGCUGGCAAGAAUUAUACACACCCGAUGACAUUAAACAGAAAGUUAUGAGUCCAUCGUUAGGGGAGGCAUUUCUGGUGUCAGCAUUUUUUGAAAUACGUGAGCACAUCUGGAUCCUCUGAUCAUAAACAACUCCUCUCUGAAAACCGUCUUUAAAGAGCCUUUCUUCUUCAGGAAAGGAGUCAGAACUCUUUUUCGACUGACAUUUGGAGAGAAGAUGUUGAACUAAAAAUUCCUAAUGUAUCUAUCUUUGAUUUUGUUUCAUAGCCUUACAGUUCCCUUUGCUGACUUUGACUCCCCUUAGCGUUUAAUUUUAAUACGCCCACUUGUGUUAAUUGCAGGUCCGUGUGUGUGCAAGUACAUGUGUGUGAGUGUGUGUCACUGUAAGUCUGUGCGUGCAUCUGUGUGUAUGCAUGUGUAUACAUGUGCACAAGUGUGACUGUAAGUGCACGUGUGGGGGGAGUGCAUUGCACGUCUGCAUGUAACUGUAGUGUGUGUGCACAUGCACGUGUGUGUACAUGCGUGUGUGUGCAUGUAUGCAGGAGAGCCAUGUGUGCAUUGGAGUGAUGUGUGUGUAAGUGCGCGUGUGUGUGAAUAAGUCUAUGACUGUGUGUGUAUGUGUGUGUAAAUCCGUGUGUGUAAGUACAUGUGUGUGAGUGCGUGUGUGUGAGCAGUGUGGGGGGGGAAGGUGUUUGGAACACAAUAGAGAGAGUCCGAGAUUAAGAGAAACAAUUGGAGUGACCACAGAAUAUACGUCAAGUGCUUUGAAAUCAUUACCCAUGAAGUGCUGCGUUACUAUGAGUUACUAUUUCCAGGCUGUUCCACACAAUUUUUUAGCAUGACUGUGUGACUUGCAAAUAGAAGGGCCUGUGGGCGCUUGGGUGCCUCAGUCGGUUAAGCAUCUGACCCUUGAUUUUGGCUCAGGUCACGAUCUCACAGUUCGUGAGUCGGAGCUCCGCAGCGGUCUUGGUGCUGACGGCAUGGAGCCUGCCUAGGAUUCUGUCUCUCCUUCUCUCUCUGCCCCUCCCCGACCAGCACACACCAGCAAAAUGAAUAAACUUAAUUUUUUUUUUUUUUUACAGAUGAGGGUAUGCUUAAAAGGAAAGACGAAAUGGUAUAAAGACAAAUAGAGGGGAAGAGAGACCAGGAAAGCGGAGAGCCAUCGAUGCAAAGCAUCUUGACCCCUGCGUGUUUCUCUCAGGUCACAGACUUCACAGCAAGCGAUAGAGAGUCAAGGACAUGCAGAAAUGGGUUUCAUUCACUGCAGUAAGAACAGGGAAACAAGUUCACGGCAAAGGCAAUAAAAAUCUGGUUUCAAUGCUGAAUGUCAAAAACAAGGUGAUGUUGCUUGCUUGUUCUGAGUAUUGAGGAACUGUGACGUCUCCUUACACUUUUGUAAUGAGAUUUCCUACCGCUAAUCUAGAAUCCAUCCAGCAGCAGCACAGCUUGAAUUUCCUCCUAAUAGAGACAUUUUCAGAAUUUACCAGGUUAUGGAGAGUUCAAACGUGGUCAGGCUUUCAAUCAAGAAUUCCUAAUUCAAAUCCUGCUGUCCACUGACACGCGCUAAUGGGGAUCAUUACAUCCUUGCAAAGCAGGCCGGAGCUCUGCGGCGUAAUCGGCUUAUCCCUCCGCCAUCUGGCCAGAGUGCCCACCACCGGCUCGGGGCCGCAGGGGCGCCUGA
rnacentral:lncRNA from 1 species